rnacentral:lncRNA from 1 species
CAGCAAAAGGAAGACAGGCUACUGGACAGAAAGGGACGGGUCCCAGUGAAGCCCCACCUUCAAGCCAGGGAUGGCUUCAAUCCUGGAGGCCGCGCUGUCAGUUCCGGUCGGAGUCUGUGGCCUGGAGUGAGCACUAAUGGUUCUUUUUCCAGGCCCGCCCAUGGCCACCCAUGGACCAAUCAGCAUGCACUUCCUCCCUUCUGAACCCAUAAAAACCCCGCUCCCCGGACGCAGCCGGAGUCACGCGAAGUCGGAAGUACCAGCUGCGGGAAGGAGCUGCCCACUGUGCGUCUUCUCAACUUGUUGGGACAACCUUCCUGCGGAAAGGAGAGACAACCUUCCUGCAGAAAGGAGCUACCUGCUUCAGGUCUACUGAGAGCUGUUCUGCCACUCAAUAAAGCUCUUCUCCAUCUUGCUAAGCCUCCAUUUGUCCGCAAUACCUCAUCUCCCUGGACGCAGGACAAGAACUCAGGACCCGCCUGGAGGUACUAAAAGAGCUUUAACACAAACAGGGCUGAAACACGCUCCCUUGCUUGCCACAUUGCGGGUGACGAGAAGGAGAAAAGAGCUGUGUUCCUUUGAGGAUCCCAGACCUAGGGUCUCCCUGAGCCAGGGCUGUGACACUCCCUUUGGGGUUCUAUGGUUCCUGGCAUCUUCAAGCUUCCAGGCGCCACCACCUUCGUUCCCUUCAUCCAAACAGGUGCCCACAGCAGAAUCCACAUGCCGUCCAUCUGGUCCAGCCUCACGCAGAGCCACAACUGUGCUGGCGCCUGGAGCUGCCAGCCCCACUGCAGCAGCCGGACUGACAUUCAGACGUGGAGCAAGUUGGACUGCAUAGGGACCCACCAGUGAGAUGGACGCUGUCUGUAAACGGGGAAAUUUAUGGAAAGAUGUCCUCCUGCAACUGCUGAAAAUGCAACAUGCUGCCCAGGUCCUGCUCAGACCACUGACAACUCAGAAGUUAAUACUCAGAGUGGAAAGCGUAGCAAAGUGUAGUACAUGAGCAAGCGUUUCAAGCCAGACGGAGUUAAUCAUCUCUGUCACUGAAUUGGAGCUCACGGUCUGCUGGACAACUGUGCUGAGUGGAAAGGAAGCCUCGAUGGCUAAGUCACUUGUCCAACCUCAGACACUGGCAGAUCCAGGAUUCAAACAGCUAGACUCCAAAUGUGUUUCCUUUAACCUCUUUUCUACCUUUUCAACUUGAUUCCACACAUCACCACUGGGAAAGCUUAGGUGAGUAAGUCAUGUGGGCUUUGGUUUUUUCAUCUGCACGAUGGAUAGACUGAGACCUUCUUCCCUCAUGCCUCUGAGGAUGACAUAAAAAACCCACAAAAUCCCUAGUCCACUUACUUGCUCACAGAUAUUUACUGAGUGAGCAUCUGAUUUCCAUCCCAUUGUCACCUUCUCCCUAGCUGUCCAGACACCCUGCUUGCCUGGCCAAUGCCACCAAAGAAUGGAACCUGCUUUUGUUCCACACUCCGUAGCCAGAAAAAAGAGACAGUUGUUCUGGCAUGUUAUUGUUUGAUUUUAUUUUACCUCAGGGAUUAAAAAAAAUGACUAUCAAUUAUAGCAACAUCAGGUAGAGGGUUUGGUAUACAUUUCCGAUGAGCUUAGAUUUCUCUCAAAUUCUCAUACUUUUAAGAUUUAUUUUUAAAUGUGAGCAUUGAAACUUAACCAAUCCUUUAGACUCUUACUCAACAAGGGAUUCUAAAGAACAUUUCUCAGUAGGAAUUAAUCAUUUAUUUUGAAACUACAUAUCUAAUUUGUCUACUAUGGGAAGGAUAUGGAAAGAGAAAACCCAAUUCUUUUUAUUUUUUGGAACAGCUGGGUCCCCAAACCACCAGCAGCUGCUUCACAAAUUGCCUAGCCAUUAAGUAAUUAUUUCCUCAUCAUAAGAGCAGCUGGAAGAGCUAGUCUCUCUCCCUCCCCAGUGCAACUCCCACUUCCUUCUGCCUCCUCCACCCUGUCCUGAAAUGGGCAGGCCAAGAGGUAUACGGUAUUGGUUUUCUUUACGUAAUUGAAGACUGGAAUUGAGCACUCUGAUAGCUGAUUAUUUUUCAACAGCGCUUACCU